rnacentral:rRNA from 1 species
GGCUCAGAGCGAACGUUAGCGGCGGGCCUAACACAUGCAAGUCGAACGCGAAAGGUCUUCGGACUGAGUAGAGUGGCGCACGGGUGAGUAACACGUAGGUAAUCUACCCUUUGGCGGGGGAUAACGUUCCGAAAGGAGCGCUAAUACCGCAUAAGACCACGGAGUCUCCGGACGCUGUGGGAAAAGGUGGCCUCUUCUUGAAAGCUACCACCGAAGGAUGAGCCUGCGUCCCAUCAGCUAGUUGGUAAGGUAAUGGCUUACCAAGGCGAAGACGGGUAGCUGGUUUGAGAGAAUGAUCAGCCACACUGACACUGGAACACGGGCCAGACUCCUACGGGAGGCAGCAGUGAGGAAUAUUGGGCAAUGGGCGAAAGCCUGACCCAGCCACGCCGCGUGAGUGAUGAAGGCCCUCGGGUCGUAAAGCUCUGUGGAGAGGGACGAAAACCCUGGUUUCAAAUAGGCUCCAGGCUUGACGGUACCUCUUUAGCAAGCACCGGCUAACUCUAUG